rnacentral:rRNA from 1 species
GUCGAACGCUAGCGGGAUGCUUUACACAUGCAAGUCGAGCGAGUGGCGGACGGGUGAGUAAUGUCUCGGAAACUGCCUGAUGGAGGGGGAUAACUACUCGAAAAGGUAGCUAAUACCGCAUACCAUUAGAUGUGCCGAGAUGGGAUUAGCUAGUAGGUGGGGUAAUGGCUCACCUAGGCGACGAGCCCUAGCUGGUUUGAGAGGAUGACCAGCAACACUGGAACUGAGACACGGUCCAGACUCCUACGGGAGGCAGCAGUGGGGAAUUUUGGACAAUGGGCGAAAGCCUGAUGCAGCCAUGCCGCGUGUGUGAGGAAGGCCUUCGGGUUGUAAAGCACUUUCAGCAGAGAGGCGUUACUCGCAGAAGAAGCACCGGCUAACUACGUGCCAGCAGCCGCGGUAAUAC